UUGACUCCACGUGGCUUCUGGGACGCAGCCUUCGUUAGUGGGCAGUCUUCCCUGGGAGACAGUGGGACUGCAUCAGAAGGAGGCUUGUUCCUGAAGCCAUGGCACCUAGAGCAACAGGGAUGCCCUCGGGUAUCUUUGGACAGAAGUCAAGGGGGGGCCUGAUGGGGAUGCUGCAGAAGAUGUGUGCAUUGGAUCCGGGGCACAGCAGAGGAGCUGUGAGUUUAAUUCUAAUAAUGACAAUGCAUGAAUCUCUGACAUUCAUCUCUUUGUAUCUUAAAAUAGUUCAUAGGAGAAGGCACAUAACUCAAAGCACUUAAAUAAGGAACCUGCUCCCCCACACACAGUGUACAAACAACAUGAUGGAUAGGAGAAGAGCAGGAAUUCUCUCUCAGAGAAAAAAUAACACAUCUAAAAAAGAAGAAGAGAAAACAAUCUUAAGCUGGCUACUUGAAAAGAACAGGAGGCUCUGGUUUACACAGUUUGAGGCACAGCUAUGUCUUGAAGGGCAGAAGAAAUUCAGGAAAAGAAUGAGACUAAUUUGACCUAUGCAGGAGGUGGAGGAUGGAUGGAAGAGGGUCUUUUUUAGCAGAAUUCUUUAGAUCUGAGGACAGUCUCUUGCUUACAAUUAACUCUGGGGGAAAACAGAGAAAAUAGUUUUAUUUCUAUUUGUUGCCUUUAGACAUGAUCUUUGCUUCUAUUAUUGUUUUAUAAGGAAUCUUUUUUUUACUUAUUUUUAGUUUUAAGAGAAUUCCUUUGUAAAAUAGGAAGGUUCAUAGGUCAUUGCUCCAACACAGACCCAUGACUCCCGUCACCUAGUGAUGGAAAUCCAAUAGCAUGGAAGAGAGGGAGAUAGCAGCCAGAUAUAAGAGCUCUACCCCACAAGCAGCAGAGAUAUGAGAGCUCUACCCCUCAAGCAGCAGAGAAAGCAAAUGCCAUACCAAUUUCAAGAGACCUUGGCUCUCCCACACAUGUUCAUCCUGACCAAGGAUUUCACAGAGGAUGGAAAGUCCAAGCUGCUUUUCUAAAUUAACAGAUCCAUCAUUUCUAAUGCAUACUUUCUUCUUUUUUUUAA
rnacentral:lncRNA from 1 species